CCAGAGUCCUACGGGAGGCAGCAGUGAGGAAUAUUGGUCAAUGGGCGAGAGCCUGAACCAGCCAAGUAGCGUGCAGGAAGACGGCCCUAUGGGUUGUAAACUGCUUUUGUAUGGGGAUAAAGUCAGUCACGUGUGAUUGUUUGCAGGUACCAUACGAAUAAGGACCGGCUAAUUCCGUGCCAGCAGCCGCGGUAAUACGGAAGGUCCGGGCGUUAUCCGGAUUUAUUGGGUUUAAAGGGAGCGUAGGCUGGAGAUUAAGUGUGUUGUGAAAUGUAGACGCUCAACGUCUGACUUGCAGCGCAUACUGGUUUCCUUGAGUACGCACAACGUUGGCGGAAUUCGUCGUGUAGCGGUGAAAUGCUUAGAUAUGACGAAGAACUCCGAUUGCGAAGGCAGCUGACGGGAGCGCAACUGACGCUGAAGCUCGAAGGUGCGGGUAUCGAACAGGAUUAGAUACCCUGGUAGUCCGCACAGUAAACGAUGGAUGCCCGCUGUUGGUACCUGGUAUCAGCGGCUAAGCGAAAGCAUUAAGCAUCCCACCUGGGGAGUACGCCGGCAACGGUGAAACUCAAAGGAAUUGACGGGGGCCCGCACAAGAAC
rnacentral:rRNA from 1 species